UACGAAGGGGGCUAGCGUUGUUCGGAUUUACUGGGCGUAAAGCGCGUGUAGGCGGGUCGUUAAGUUGGGGGUGAAAGCCCGGAGCUCAACUCCGGAACUGCCCUCAAAACUGGCGACCUGGAGCAAGAUAGAGGCGAGUGGAAUUCCGAGUGUAGAGGUGAAAUUCGUAGAUAUUCGGAGGAACACCAGUGGCGAAGGCGACUCGCUGGAUCUUUGCUGACGCUGAGACGCGAAAGCGUGGGGAGCAAACAGG
rnacentral:rRNA from 1 species